rnacentral:rRNA from 1 species
GACGAACGCUGGCGGCGUGCUUAACACAUGCAAGUCGAACGGAAAGGCCCUGCUUUUGUGGGGUGCUCGAGUGGCGAACGGGUGAGUAACACGUGAGUAAACUGCACUUGACUUUGGGAUAACUUCAGGAAAAUGGGGCUAAUACCGGAUAGGAGCUACUGAUGCACGGUGGGGGUUGGAAAGUUUCGGCGGUUGUGGAUGGACUCGCGGCUUAUCAGCUUGUUGGGGGGGUAGUGGCUUACCAGGGCUUUGACGGGUAGCCGGCCUGGGAGGGUGACCGGCCACAUGGGGCCUGCGAUACGGCCCAGACGCCUACGGGAGGCAGCGGUGGGGAAUAUUGCACAGUGGGCGGAAGCCUGAUGCAGCAACGCCGCGUGCGGGAUGACGGCCUUCGGGUUGUAAACCGCUUUCGCCGGUGACGAAGCGUGAGUGACGGUAAUGGGUAAAGAAGCACCGGCUAACUACGUG